rnacentral:rRNA from 1 species
GACGAACGCUGGCGGCGUGCCUAAUACAUGCAAGUCGUGCGGACCUUUUAAAAGCUUGCUUUUAAAAGGUUAGCGGCGGACGGGUGAGUAACACGUGGGCAACCUGCCUGUAAGACUGGGAUAACGCCGGGAAACCGGGGCUAAUACCAGAUCGUUUUUUCCUCCGCAUGGAGGAAAAAGGAAAGGCGGCUUCGGCUGCCACUUACAGAUGGGCCCGCGGCGCAUUAGCUAGUUGGCGGGGUAACGGCCCACCAAGGCAACGAUGCGUAGCCGACCUGAGAGGGUGAUCGGCCACAUUGGGACUGAGACACGGCCCAAACUCCUACGGGUGGCAGCAGUAGGGAAUCUUCCGCAAUAGACGAAAGUCUGACGGAGCAACGCCGCGUGAGUGAAGAAGGCCUUCGGGUCGUAAAACUCUGUUGCCGGGGAAGAACAAGUGCCGUUCGAACAGGGCGGCGCCUUGACGGUACCCGGCCAGAAAGCCACGGCUAACUACGUG